rnacentral:pre_miRNA from 1 species
AAAGUACUCCCUCCGUCUGGAAUUACUUGUCAUCAAAAUGGAUGUGUCUAGAACUAAAAUACAUCUAGAUACAUCCAUUUCAAUGACAAGUAUUUUCGGACGGAGGGAGUACUAG